rnacentral:rRNA from 1 species
UACGGGGGGGCAAGCGUUGUUCGGAAUUACUGGGCGUAAAGGGUUCGUAGGUGGCCAACUAAGUCAGACGUGAAAUCCCUCAGCUCAACUGGGGAACUGCGUCUGAUACUGAUUGGCUUGAGUGCAGGAGAGGAACGCGGAAUUCCAGGUGUAGCGGUGAAAUUCGUAGAUAUCGGGAGGAACACCAGUGGCGAAGGCAGCGAUCUGGGAAGUUACUGACGCUGAGAGGCGAAAGCGUGGGGAGCAAACAGG